CUGUAGUGAUGCUACAGAAGAGGAGGAAGCUAUAGCAGAGGAGAAAGCUGCAGCAAUGCUGCAGUAGAGGAGGAAACUGCAAUGAUGCUGCAGUAGAGGAGGCUGCUACAGCGAUGCUACAGCAGAGGAGAAAGCUGCAGCGAUGAUGUAGUGAUGCUACAGUAGAGGAAGAAGCUGCAGUAGAGGAGGUUGCUGUAGCAAAGGUGCCACAGAGGAGGAAGCUGCAAUGAUGC
rnacentral:lncRNA from 1 species